rnacentral:lncRNA from 1 species
UCUUUACUUUCACAGAAGCCACAACUCUCACAGGAGGUAGGGGCAGUACUGGAACUGAAUCCAGAGCAGGUGAAGCCACUACGAGGGCAGCUCCUGGCAUGACUCUUGCCCCUGGCAGUUCCAACACAGGGGCCACAGCUUCUCUAGGUGAAAGUGCAACAACAAGAGGUGGAACAACCAGCGCUACCACUGGAGCAUUCUCUGGAAAGACUCUUGAACCUGGGAAUGACAACACAGGCAAGUCCAAAAGCACACAGGGAAUGCUACACUUUGGCUGCUCAGGUGACAGUUUCCUAGGGUUACAAAACCCUGUACCUUACAAUACUGCAGACUUUAUCUUUGCUUUCUUUUCUCUCAGAGGCCACACGUUCCACAAGAGGAGUCAGCACCACAGGGUCAGAAGCUCCAGCAGAGGCCACAACUCUCACAGGAGACAGAAGCAGUACUAG